rnacentral:rRNA from 1 species
AUGUGUGCCAUCAAAUUGGAUAUGCACAAAGCGUACGACCGGGUAGAGUGGUCUUUUCUGAAGGAAAUUAUGUUGAAAUUGGGAUUCCAAGAGAACUGGGUAAAUCUAAUUAUGCAAUGUGUAUCUUCGAUGGAGUACCGGGUUCGCUUUAAUACUAAAGAGACUGAGAGUUUUAAACCUACUAGAGGUUUAAGGCAGGAAGAUCCUCUCUCUCCAUAUUUAUUCUUGCUAUGUACAGAGGGGCUGACGGCUCUUCUAGCUAAUGCGGAGGAGAAUGGUAAUAUUUCUGGAGUUAAGGUUUGUAGAGAUGCCCCCUCGAUCUCAAACCUUCUCUUCGCCGAUGAUUCUUUGAUCCUUAUAAAAGCAAAUGCUAUGAAUGCUGAGGCGCUGAAAUCAAUUUUGGAUUCUUAUUGUGUUGCCUCGGGGCAAAUGGUGAGCGUUGAAAAGUCGAGUAUUUUCUUUAGUCCCAACACAAAAGUGGAAGACAAGGCGCAAAUUUGCACAAUUCUGGAUAUUACGACUGAAGCUCUCAAUGACAAAUAUUUGAGUUUGCCUGUAAAUGUGGGUAUGGACAAAAGUGAGGCCAUGCUUGGAUCCGAGGGACUAUUUUUAGUCUGA